UUUUUUUUUUUUAAAGUAAUUUUUGUUUUGUUUGCUUGCCAUGCCAUGUUAUAGUCCCAAUACUACUGCUAUUACUACUGCAUGGUAAAGCGGUUGUGCUCUGUCGAUUGUUGGAUGAACGGAGAGAUGGAUGGACGGGCGAGCGGGCGGUUCGUUGGUCGGUCGGUUUGGUUGGUUGGUUAGUCGAUCCAACAACAAUCAGCAAAUUGUAUAUAUAGUAUAAUAUGGUGUGGCUUUUAGUAUUAUAAAAGAAAAAGACCGUAUUUACGUAUUUUUAAGAUGGAACAACAGCGGGAGCAAACGUGCGGAGAGAGUGAGCACACAGUCAAGUGAAUGCCAUCUAUGAUAGCUGACAUGGCGGCAGCAAUGGCGACUAACAACGUCGUUCGUCGGCACAUUACACACAACGGACGAAUAUACCUUUACAGCCUAAGUUUUCACUCGAUGGCUGGCUUUGGUUGCUUGUGUUUUUUCCUCGUGCUGUUGCUGCUGGUGCUAAUGUUGUUUUUCGAUUUAAUACUUUGGGAACGAGAAAAAUACGUAAAAAUGUGAAAAUGUUUUCUUUUUCACAUUUCAUAGUCGAUUUUUAUUAAAGACUGAAACGUAUCUGCACGGGUACGUACUUACGUACGUACGUAUAUCUUGUGACUCUUUUUAAGAGCUUUGUUGACUGCUUGACUUGACUAACUGACUGAGCAUUGUUUUUGGCUUUGUUGUGAUGGUCUUUUCGUUUACGGCUAUAGAUUUUUGGAAUAGUUGUUGUAGUUGAAUACUCAGUUAAAGUAGAAAACGCAGUUUUUUUAUUUUUAUUGUCGUUAAGUUCGGCUAGAAUUUAUUGACAUCAAGGCGAAUGGUUGUUGCAGCUUUUUAACCUCCUAAAUUCGGCUAGCAUCUGUCUUCGCAUUAAGCCUGAUGCUCAUUGUUGGUCUCAAACUGAACAGAUGUACUAGAUUAGCAAGAGUAAUGUACGUCUUUUUCGAGGCCUGUACUUUCUUUUAGUUCUUCUCCUUUGCGUGCCUUUUUGACUAUCGCAAGAAACUGAAUUCAUGCCUUCUUGAGGGCGCAGAAAUUUUGUUCGCAUUAUUACGAAAUAAUUUCAAGCUGGCUUUAUUUGCAGCACCUUUUCAAGACUCGUUUAAAUAAGAGACGAUACCUUGUAAGUUAAAGUUUUCAGAUGUUUCGAAGUCAGUUUCGAGGUUAUUGUCCCACUGCUCAACUUUAGUCAAAAUAAAGUGAAAUUAUAAUUUGCUAAUGCCCCUUCGUUAAUCUUCACGUAUGUAUAUAGCGUGAGAUUUAACGGACGAUUUUUGAGUGACCCCCUCAAGUCUCUAAUAAGUCUUAAUCAAGCCUGAAUAGAUGAAAUUUGCUAGAAUUCCUUAUGCUUCAAAAAUAUGUGCCAGCUUCCUCCAACGCAUUGUAGUGACAAUCAUUUUGUUGAAACGCUUACGUGUCGCUUAAGUGAAAAUCGUACUGACUUUUCACGCUUCUUAUGGUUUGUAGUGAAGUCUUAAAACCUGCUAGAAUUUUGAAGAUUUCAUUUCAUUACCUCAGACUUUGUUGGCAGAAACUUUCCAAAACGUGUGCUUGCCUUUUUGCAUAACUCAAUAAUAAGUUUUUACGCUAUAAAGCCUAGUUCCGUAAUAAAGUUGGGGUCUUCCUUAGCAUACAUUAACUAGAUCAGAUUCGUUGAUUACAUAUUGAUCUGAUGCGCCAAACCAAGUCAUAUUAAUAUAACUCAAAUAUUUAAUAAAUCUCCCAUUAGUUUAAGGGAAGGAAUGCGUUGCAAUCACUUCUAUGACAAAUGUAACAUAUCCGCCCGCUAUCGCAUUUAGAAUCUUUGACAUAACUUUCUAACAUCUCGUGCAAUUGUGAAAAACAAUUUGUCAACAGCUCAACGAAGUUGAAUAUUUAAAUAAAUAUCUUUAAAUCAGUAAACGAAUAAAGCGAUUGUCCGUCAACAGGAUGUAGAACAAUCAGGUACAAAUGUCAUUCUUUUACGUAGCUGCGACCAUUAAAGCAGACAAAGCAAAUUGCGAGUACCUGUGACUGGCUAUAGGUUGUUGUUCGAAUUUAUCAAAAAUAUAUUGUGCCCAAGGAAACGACGACAAGACUAGCAUAGAUGUGCAUUUAACUCUCUUCAAUUCUUUGACAAACUUUAUUGUAAGAUAUGCAUGUUACUGUUGUUCUCUGAUAUUGUAUGCAUUUCUAGUUUUGCAGCGCAACAAUGUUUUCUCUCCCAAGCAGAUAAACAAUCAAAAGAUCAAUUGUUUAGCGUGAAAUUUAUGAUACGCUAAAAAUUACAGACUCUCACGCAAAAGCGUUGUUGAGAUAUCACAACAACUGCAUACAUCGCAAUAGCAAUAUCACCAACAUCACACACUCAGUACUACUCGUAUUUAGACCAUCGAUGUUGAUGAUGGAAGAAAAAUAACGAAAUCAUUGAUCUAAAAUGAACAGCAAUACAAAAAAAAAAAAAAAAAACUCAUUGCGUUAAAUACAUUUUUCUUUACCUACGUUAAGCAUUGAACGAUGGCAAUGCGAUGAGUAGGCUCUUAAGCCUAACCUAACCUGUAUAUCGAAUGUGUACAUGAAUAUAUGUAAGAAGAGAGCUCUGCAAAACUAAAAAGAUAUUACCGUCAGUCACAUCGCUUGAUUAUGUUGGUAGAGAAGCAAUAUAUGCACGCACUCAGGCACAAACAAUGUACUUAAAGUGAUGGUACUGACGAUAUGUUCACAUUUGCAUUCACAUUGAACGAAAUCUGGUUUUCUCGGGACACAAAUGACUUCGUCGCUUUAAUGUAGCUCUAACGUUUGCAAAACCGGCUCGUUACUCGACUCGAUCGAAAUAACAGAGACGAGCGCGCACAACACAGCCGAGCAUGUACAGAUGCAAAAAAAUGACUACUUUUCAGAUCCAUUAAAAAAAAGCGAAGAAAAAUAAAAAAAAACUGUACAACAGCAGACGCAACAAAGUAAUUUCCAGAUCUUCGCAAUUGCAUUGAAAUGGUCUGUUGUUCGCAGUUGUUGCAGCUAUACAGUGAAGGCUUUUUAACUAAACAAUCACAUACGAUGUUAUAUGUUUUGAAAAA